AUGUGUGUGUGUGUGUGUGUGUGUGUGUGUGUGUGUGUGUGUGUGUGUGUGUGUGUGUGUGUGUGCGCGCGUGUGUGUGUGUGCGCGUGUGUGUGUGUGCGCGCGUGUGUGUGUGUGCGCGUGUGUGUGCGUGCGUGCGCCCCCCCCUCACACACCCCCACGAACACCAACAGGCAUGCAAUGUGUAUGUGCUUGCAAAAUACAUUACCUGAAACGUGCAUGUGCGUGUAUUCGUCACGAGACACGAAACAUCUGUAUUGUGCUCUACUCCUUCCGUGUGUGUGUAAUUAUACUAAGGAAGAGAUAAGACGA